UCCCAGCCUGCUUCUUCCAGAUGUGGUUGGCCAUUACUGAGAGAUUUAAGGUAUCGUUUGUUUAGAACCCCGUGACUUGGGUCUGGUUUUCUCCUGGCAUCCUAGAGGCUUCACAGCUCAGAGCAGGAGGAACAUACAUCUAGUUCAGCUUGCUUACUUUACAGAUGAGGAAACUAAGGUCUCAAAACAUUAAGUAACCCAAGGAUCAGAACACGGUUUCCCUGACUCUCAGUCCGUGAACAAUAACUAGCAGAAACAUUGUAUUAACAAAGUUCAAGAUGAGGUAGAUAGACCAGAGGUGGAGGACACAGGAACAGAUCAAAGAACCGUUCGUCUUACUGGUAGGAAUCACUGUAUAGGGGGCAGCACCAUACCGCUGUAACUAGCAGGCUAGUGUGGGAUCUGGGAAGGGUAAUCCCAGUCUCUCCUUUCCUGCUUCAGACUUGAGCUCUGGAAUCCAUGGUGGAAAAUGAAUUUGCUUCCCAGGGAGGUGGUGGUAAGUGAAAGUGUAAAGUCAGUUUCUGGUAAUGCAGCGGAGAUGAAGACAGUUAAAAAACAAACUUAAAUGAAAUCACAGUGGAUCAAAAGUGAUCACACAUUACAUAUAAAUGCCCAAAUACAUGUGUCCAUACACAUAACCCUUUUCCCUUUAAUGAACUUGGUAUUGAGCAAUUUCUGUAAAGCCCAAAUGCAAACAGCUUAGGUUUCCAGAGAGAAGUCUCAAAGCAGAGGGGCCCACUGGCUAUUUAGAGAGCUAACUUUAUGAAACAGAAUUUUAAGGAACUCUACCAAGAACCUUAAGAUUGCAUUAUUACUGUGAAUUGAUUAAUGGAAUGGGUGACCAUGUAGUGUGAGACCUGCUAUUUCCUUCUGAUUCUAUGUCUGACUCUAUCAACAGGAAUUUGGGAAAGUCAUCCUGUAUUGGAAAGCAUGCAACAACAUCAAUAUCACUAGAAUAGUUACUUGGCCAGAAAAUCUGGAAACCUAUUUAAAAAUCAGAAAACAUUCAUCUAAUUAUUUUGCUUAAUUUUAAAUGUAAUUUUUCCAGUUGAUUCCUGGCCUCAGUCCAAAACCUUAGUAAUCCUAUUUAAUACUCCUCUAACUAUGAGAAACAUUCAUGAGUUCCUUGUAGCACAUUUGAUAGUAUUAGAGGCCCCCAAAAAAUGACCUCCUUUUUUAUCCAGGGUCUUUCCCUCUAACUUUGUAAUCCCCUCCUAUUCUGGGCUCAACUGUAUGAUUUACUUUGAGCAACAAGACAACAGCAGACUUGAUGUAAAUGAAUGCUGGAAAAAUGUUUACGCAUUUCUGUUUCCAGUCUUGGAAUUCUGACAUCACCAGAAUAAGCCUGCUGGAAGAUGAAAGACCCCGUAGAGCAAAGCUGAGUCAUAACAGCUGAGCAUCCUUGACCAGUCAGCCCUCAUUUGACUGCAGAGGCACAAGCAAGUCCAAAUGAGGUUGCCUAGGCUUGGUCCAGAUCACCAGAACCACCCACCCAACUCAUAGAUUCACGAGAAACAAUACAUGGUUGCUGGUUUAAGCCACUGUUUCAGUUAUUGAUUGCUGCUUAACAAAUGAUCCCAAAACUUAGUUACCAAAAUCACCAAUCAUUUACUAUUUUUCCUUAUUCAGUGGGUCAACUAAGCCUAGCUGAGCAUUGCCUAAGGUUACACAUGGUUUUUUGUUUGUUUGUGUUGUUUUUGUUGUUGUUUGCCUGCUUGCUUGCUUUUGAGAGAGGGUCUUGCUCUGUCACACCAGCUGGAACAGGUUGUAGUGCAAUGGCAUGAUUACAGUUUACUGCAGCCUUGAUCUCCUAGACUCAAGUGAUCCUCCCACCUCAGCCUCCCAAAUAGCUGGGACCACAGGCAUGCACCACCAUGCCUGGAUAAUUUUUUUGUGUGUGUGGAGAUAAGGUCUCACUCUGUUUCCAGGGGUGGUCUCAAACGCCUAGGCUCAAGCAACCCUCCCACCUCAACUCCCAAAGUGCCGGGAUUAUAGGUAUCAGCUGCUGUGCCUGGCCUGGGUCACUCAUUUGACUGCAUUCAGCUGGCCACUGGCAGCUGGGCUGAGUUGGAAGGUUUGAAAAGGCCUCAUUAACGUAUCAGACACCUCAAUUCUCCUCCAGAUGAUCUAUGUCCAUGUACCCAGCUUGGGCUUCCUCCCAGCAAGGUGGUUACACUUCCUCUAUGGCAUCUCACUUUCAAGAGGGAGGAAUAGAAACUGCCAAUUCUCUUAUGAGUUGAGUCUAGAAGUUCUAGAAUGUUAUUUCUGCUUCAUUCUAUUGGCCAGAGCAAGUCACAAGACCAAACAGAUUCAAGAGGAGGGGAAAGAGACUCUGCCUUCUGACUUGAGAGGACUGGAAAGAGCAUUGAAUUAGGAGCCAUAAGACCUGGUUUGCUACUCCAGCUCUGUCCUCACAACAGUGAAAUCUACAUUCUUUCUUGGCUUCGAAUUCCUUAGUGAAGCAAGCAGAGAACAUCAGACUGCAGCAAAGGACUAGGCAAUGACCUCUUAAAAAUCUGCUGUCUCCUUGGUUUGUGUUUUCCAUAGGUUGGGAACAGUACAUGUUGCAUGUUUGUGUAUAUUUUUUUCUUAAUUUUGGAGUAAUGAAUGUACGAAAGAAGCCCUUCUUUGUGACCAUUCUGCAUGCCAAGAGAUAUGAUGGCAUUUCCUCUAGAGACUUUCAGAAGAAAAGAUUAAAUAAAAGAUUUAUAAUAUGCAAGAGUUUGUCUAUGAUAUCCUGAUAAGAAUAAAAGGCAUAAUUUGAA